ACUUGAAUAUAGCAUUCAAGGAAGAUUUCCAGAAUCAAAAACAUGUAAAGGGCAACAAAGGGGCUAAUUGAUGUCAUGAAAGCUUUUAUCUACAUUGCAUCUAUAACAGCAAUGUACAUCCAAUUUUCUUGAGUGGAUAACGCAAGUCAACUUUAAUUUUGAAAAAGAACAAAACAAGGAAGAGUCAAUUUUGUUAGCAAUCAGUUGAGGUGGG
rnacentral:misc_RNA from 1 species